GUGGGGAAUAUUGGGCAAUGGGGGCAACCCUGACCCAGCAACGCCGCGUGAGGGAAGAAGGUUUUCGGAUUGUAAACCUCUGUCCUAUGGGAAGAAGGAAGUGACGGUACCAUAGGAGGAAGCCCCGGCUAACUACGUGCCAGCAGCCGCGGUAAUACGUAGGGGGCGAGCGUUGUCCGGAAUUACUGGGCGUAAAGGGUGCGCAGGUGGUCUGACAAGUCAGAUGUGAAAUACCGAUGCUUAACGUCGGGGCUGCAUUUGAAACUAUGAGGCUGGAGUGCAGGAGAGGGAAGCGGAAUUCCUAGUGUAGCGGUGAAAUGCAUAGAUAUUAGGAGGAACACCAGUGGCGAAGGCGGCUUUCUGGACUGUAACUGACACUGAGGCACGAAAGCGUGGGGAGCAAACAGGAUUAGAAACCCGGGUAGUCC
rnacentral:rRNA from 1 species